AUCUGGUCGCUUUGUCAUCGGUGGACCUCAUGGUGAUGCUGGUCUCACUGGCCGGAAGAUCAUCAUUGACACCUAUGGUGGCUGGGGAGCCCACGGUGGUGGCGCUUUCUCCGGCAAGGACCCAACCAAGGUUGACCGCAGUGGAGCCUACAUUGCCAGGCAAGCUGCCAAGAGCAUUGUCGCUAAUGGCCUUGCUCGCCGCGCCAUCGUCCAGGUCUCCUAUGCCAUCGGUGUGCCUGAGCCCCUCUCCGUGUUUGUUGACACAUAUGGCACUGGCACGAUCCCCGACAAGGAGAUCCUCAAGAUUAUUAAGGAGAACUUCGACUUCAGGCCUGGCAUGAUCAUCAUCAACCUUGACCUCAAGAAAGGCGGCAACGGGCGCUACCUCAAGACAGCUGCCUACGGUCACUUCGGAAGGGACGACCCUGACUUCACCUGGGAGGUGGUGAAGCCCCUCAAGUGGGAGAAGCCUUCUGCCUAAGGCGCCCUUUGAGAAGAAGCUUUUGGUCUGCUGCGCUUAUCAUGUUUUGUGGCUUCUGUGUUGUGAUUCUUGAUCUGCCCCUUGCUAUCAUUUGUAUUGUACUGUCCUAAUAAGUGGUACUUGUGAGGGUAUUACUGUGUCUGGUUAUUUACCUAGAGGAGGAAUUAUUGU
rnacentral:lncRNA from 1 species